rnacentral:lncRNA from 1 species
UGAUCCUGUUAAAUUUCAGUGGAAGGAGAUAACAUAGAUUUGACCACUGAUGUCAAAGGAAAUUGAAGAAUAUGGGCAGAAGUGAAGAUGAAGAAUGAAGCAAAAGGAUACUUAAAGCUAAUAUUGCAAGCUCAGCUUGACUAGAAAGAUAAAUCAAGCAGAGCUGUGGGCUUUUUUUCCAAAUCAUAUCGUCCUCUUGUGCCCAUUACUUCAUAAUCUGAUCCAGGAAAUCCAAAUCUAUAAACUGUGCCAGCAUAUCACCAGUUAAAUCAAAGUUGUAUUAAGAAAACUCAGUUAUGACAAGAUACAUGUGAGAAGUUUCUGCCUACUUUAGUAGCAAAAUACUGCAGCCCACACUUCUUGUUUUCUGGAAUAAUAUCCAUCUCAUGGCUGUGGAAUCUGUCAAACAAUUGGAGGACCCUGAAUAACAGGCUGCAGUGGAGCACUCCUGACCUCCAAGAAAGGCAGGACAUUCCACAGAAUGAAAAGAGUAACAGUGAAGUUCAGAAUGAGAAAAAUCAAGAAUGGAUUGUCUAUUAGUUUUAAUUUCUAAAGCUCUGGUACACCUUACCUGCUGUAAAACUGAUAAUGUAGGGGGAACAAAAAGGUUUUUCAUUUGUUUUAGUCCUACUUAGUACUAAUUGCAACUUCUAUCUUGACAGUUGAUACUUUGCAUGAUUGGUUCCAUUAUGUCUGAAUACUUUCAUCUGCAUAAUGCUGUGAUGGAGUAUAAUUAGCAAAAUGCUAUUUUGAGUGUGAAGUAGCUUUUUGUUGUCCUACUCAUCUCAAAACUAUUGUCUCCUUAAGAAGCAGAAAUUAAUAUUGUGGUUUCUGUCAGCAGUUCAACUUUUAUUAAAUUUGACCACUAAAAUGCACUGAAUUAAAAUAGAAUUUUAAACACUCUUAAACUACCAUUCCUGAGAGCAUCUUUUCCUAAACAGCUCAGAGAAGACAGUACACAUUGCAGUUAUAAAAUGACUGCAGAUCAUUUAAGCAUCACUCAGGUUCUUGUUGUAUAUGUGUGUCAUCUUCUAAGAACUAUGCAUUAGAUGAUGUUAGUCAUCCUGUAGUCAAAAUUAGUCAUUUUUAGACUGAUCCAUUAGUUCAGUGUUUGUUAUGUGACUUUGCUGUCAAGGCGGAUCAUACAACCACCUGGUUUAACGAAUGAGUUCUCAGUUCAUUCAUAGCUUUGGCUUUUAUCUUGCAUCAAGAAUUAGGGAAAGCUCAGGAUGUCAUCAGUUCUGCCCCUUAUGCUUCAGAGGAGGCUGAUCAUGGUAUAGCUUAUAAACAGUGCAGCUUCAAGGUGAACAUCAACUUAAGUGAGCAAUCACACUUGAAAUGCUUCAUCGAUAUAAUUUAAACCUCUUUCUAGAACUACUAUUGCUGAUAUCAUUCUCA